ensembl:lncRNA PAUPAR PAX6 upstream antisense RNA
GCUGAGCUCUAUGGAUCCAUCUGGAUGAAAAGGGAACUUAUAUUUGUCAGCUUUGCAAGUGGGGCUCAGUUUCGGGGAAGGGGUGAGAGAGAAGAAAGGAAGAAACUGAUGAAGAGAAUGAAAGAGGAAAAGACCUGCCUGACACCUGGAUCUUAGAAACAAACCUUUCCUAACAACAGACCUCCAAGCAUAAAGAGAGUAUUUUCAAACAACUCAAAAAAUCAGUCUAAAUCAACGAUAUUCAAAAGGACAAAGAAAAAAAUAAUAGGGGAUUAUGUUCUUUUCUCAUCUGUCUUAUGUUCUGAAGUUAUUCAUUUGACACCUUCUGCUCUUGUACGAUGGCAGGCCUGUAUUCCCAAAGAUGCCCAUUCCAGCCAUCUAUUGCUGUGUAACAAAUGACGACAAUGUAUGAUGGUUUAAAAUCACAACUAUUUUAUUUCAUCUCUCAAUAUUGUGGGUCAGAGUUCAGGCUUGGUGAAGUGAUUCAUCUGCUCCAUAUGGCUUGAACAGUGGUCUCAGAGUGGUAUUCUGCUGGUGAGUUGGCUGGUUUCAAGGGUCUAAGUGAAGUUUAGAGGCUUCACUCACAUGUCUGCACCUUGGCAGGGAUGGCUUCAAAGAUGGGGUCCACUGGGACUGGCGACUGGAGCCCACACCUGGCCUCUCCACUCAGACUUCUGACAGUAAGCAAGGCAGAAUCACAUGACUUUUUAUGACCUAGCUUCAGAAGUCACAAAGCAUCAUUUUGGUCAUACCCCAUUGGUCAAAACAGUCACAAGCCUGCCUAGACUGAAGAGGCAGGGGAUGGACGCUAGCUUUUAAUGGAGGGAGUGUCAAAGAAGUCAUACUUCCAUGGCUCCGAAGUUGGGCUCCAAUGUGGAAUGUGUUUACCUUUUUCCUUCUGAAUGGGCCCCAUGAGCAGCCAUAACUGUGAAGACAGAUACAAUGGCAGGGACCAUGGCGCCUUCAUUUCCUAAGGUCCAUGGUAAUUUUCUGCAAACCAAUACUUCUCCUCAAUAAACACAUUAUAGAAUAA